UAGUGUUGAAACACCAGUUCUGUACGAUCACUAAAGUUAAGCAACAUCAAGCCUGGUCAGUACCUAGAUAGGUGACUGCUUGGAAAUACCAGGUGUUGUAAG